GACGAACGCUGGCGGCGUGCUUAACACAUGCAAGUCGUACGGUAAGGCCCUUUCGGGGGUACACGAGUGGCGAACGGGUGAGUAACACGUGAGUAACCCGCCCACAACUUUGGGAUAACGCUAGGAAACUGGUGCUAAUACUGGAUAUGUGCUCCUGCUGCAUGGUGGGGGUUGGAAAGCUCCGGCGGUUGUGGAUGGACUCGCGGCCUAUCAGCUUGUUGGUGGGGUAGUGGCCUACCAAGGCGGCGACGGGUAGCCGGCCUGAGAGGGUGACCGGCCACAUUGGGACUGAGAUACGGCCCAGACUCCUACGGGAGGCAGCAGUGGGGAAUAUUGCACAAUGGGCGCAAGCCUGAUGCAGCAACGCCGCGUGCGGGAUAACGGCCUUCGGGUUGUAAACCGCUUUCAGCAGGGACGAAGCUUUUUGUGACGGUACCUGCAGAAGAAGCACCGGCUAACUACGUG
rnacentral:rRNA from 1 species